UUUUUCCAUUAAUUUCUUACAUUGUUUUCUGAGUUUAUUGAGGUUUAGUUAUGUAGUUCUUCGCCAAAUGAUUUUUUUCUUUGUUUUUAUAUAUUCUCUCCGCUGAGGUUCUAGAAGUGAGUUAGUUCUUGAAUAUUUCCUCCAGGUAUUUUUUUCCAUUAAUUUCUUACAUUGUUUUCUGAAUUUAUUGAGGUUUAGUUAUGUAGCUUUUCGCCGAGUGUUUUUUCUUUGUUUUUAUAUAUUCUUUCUCUCCGCUGAGGUUCUAGAAGUCUGAGUUAGUUCUUGAAAAUCUCCUCCAGGUAUUUUUUUCCAUUAAUUUCUUACAUUGUUUUUCUGAAUUUAUUGAGGUUUAGUUAUGUAGUUCUUCGCCAAAUGAUUUUUUUCUUUGUUUUUAUAUAUUCUUUCUCUCCGCUGAGGUUCUAGAAGUCUGAGUUAGUUCUUGAAUAUCUCCUCCAGGUAUUUUUUUCCCAUUAAUUUCAUACAUUCUUUUCUGAGUUUAUUAAGGUUUAGCUAUGCAGUUCUUUACCAAGUUAUUAUUUUUUUCAUAUCUUUCUUUACGCUGAGCUUGUACAGGUUUGAGUUAGUUUCCGAAUAGCUCCUCCAGAUAUUUUCUUUUACACAUGCGUUGAAUGUGUCUAGGGAACUUAACGGACCUUGACAAAGCUUUCCCUGUCUUCAUUGCUGUCUCCUAAUUCCUUUCUCUGACUGUCGAUAUAAACGAUACAAACAGGUCUCGGUGUCAUAACAAUCUUCUGUCCAUUUAUAACCCUGCACUCUAUUUUGUUUUGUUUUUCUUUGAUAAUUUCUUACUUCUCUAUUUUUUGUGGUAGUAGUCAAUACGUAUGAUACAGAUAAGCUUCAAUCUCACCAAUUUUCCGUCCAUUGAUAAUCCUACAUUGCUACAUUGUGUUUUAUUUUAAGUUUUAUUGAUUUAUUUCUACCAUAUCUUAUUUUUUUCUUUGGUUGUCGAGUUUAUAUAAAUGAUACAAAUAUGCUUCAGUCUCACCAAUCUUCCGUCCAUUGAUAAUCCUACAUUGCUACACUGUGUUUUAUUUUAAGUUUUAUUGAUGUAUUUCUACCGUAUCUUAUUUUUUUCUCUGGUUGUCGAGUUUAUAUAAAUGAUACAGAUAAGCUUCAAUCUCACCAAUCUUCCGUCCAUUGAUAAUCCUACAUUCCUACAUUGUGUUUUAUUUUAAGUUUUAUUGAUGUAUUUCUACCGUAUCCUGUUUUUUCUUUGGUUGUUGAGUUUAUAUAAAUGAUACAAAUAAGCUUCAGUCUCACCAAUCUUCCGUCCAUUGAUAAUCCUACAUUGCUACAUUGUGUUUUAUUUUAAGUUUUAUUGAUUUAUUUCUACCGUAUCCUGUUUUUUCUUUGGUUGUUGAGUUUAUAUAAAUGAUACAAAUAAGCUUCAAUCUCACCAAUCUUCCGUCCAUUGAUAAUCCUACAUUGCUACACUGUGUUUUAUUUUAAGUUUUAUUGAUUUAUUUCUGCCAUAUUUUCUUUUUUUCUUUGGUUGUCGAGUUUAUAUAAAUGAUACAAAUAUGCUUUAGUCUCACCAAUCUUCUGUCCAUUAUAAUCCUACAUUCCUACACUGUGUUUUAUUUUAAGUUGUAUCUAUACCUUAUUGUACUUUCCUCUGUUAUAUUUGAUGUGGGUUUACUAAUUUCCUCCUGCCUUAUUUUAUUUUUUAUUUUUCUGGUUGUCAAGAUAUAUACCUAAUACAAAUAAGCUUCAAUCUCUUCGAUCAAUCCUCCUUUCUCUCGUGCUAUAUAUGAUCUUUUGUUGUUUUCUUUCCUAUAUUGAUGCUUUCUCUGAUAAUAAUAUAGAUAACACAAAAUAUAGGCGAUAGAAAUAUAGGCUUCAAUCUCUUAACAAUCAUCCAUCCAUUUAUAAUCCUCCUUUCUCUUGUGCUAUAUAUGUCCUGUUGUUUUCUCCCCUAUGUUAAUCCUUUUUUUUAUAUAUAUAUAUAUAACUAUAGAUGAUACAAAAUAUAAGUGAUACAAAAUUUUGAUAUAGGCCUCAAUCUCAACAACCAUCCGUCCACUGAUAAUCCUGCCUUCUACUGUGUUAUAUUUUGAUGUUUUGAUGUUGAAUAGUUGUCGUGUUAAUCAUUGUGAGUUCCAAGUGCAUGCCUGAGCUGUGUCGAUGUAAGUUACCAUGCCGUCCACUAGUGACACAGAGGAGUAUAUGGGGACAAAGUAGUUGGUCUGAAGCACUGGUAGUCUUGUGUGUGUCUUGUGUUGUGGUGUUGUUAGUGCAGCUAAUGGUGUAGUGUUGCGCCUCAUUCUUUAACCCGGUAGCAGCAGGGAUCAUGUUUCUUAAUGGUCCCUCUAAGCGAGAAAAAUGAGAAAAAAUCAUCACUCACACAAACCAUUUCAAAAUAUAUAUCAAAGCAUUUGUGAUCAGUUUAUGCAUCAUCUAUUUUUUGGGGGUUUAUGUCAUGGCACAAAUUUAGCCCAUCGCUGCUACACGGUAAAGCCACAAAUUUGGCCCGUCGCUGCUACCGGGUUAAAUGUCGUAUUAGUCUUCGUCAACAGUAAAGUUGCAGAGUUGUCUUUUUUACCUGUUUUUCAAGGCAUGGUUAGUUCUUUUAUUGAUUUUCUUUGUAUCGCAUAUUACGUCAAUGCUGUGCAUAUCCAAUAGUUUCAACUGGAGCACCGCUUAGUGGGCAUUUUUGUUGAUUUUUUAUUUUGUUGCCCUUGAGCUGUCUCCCUGCUGUAAAAAAAAGGUCCCAAAAAGGAAUUAAAAAGCCAAACUAGCCACACCUUAAUACUAAUACAACGUUUCAGUAAUCUACCUUUAGCAUUGAUCCAUAUGUCUAUAGGUUAAUUUUAGGGCAUUUAUUUAUCCAUAUAUUGUGCUAUGCUGUUAAGGCAAGAAAUAAAACACACACACACACACACACACACACACACACACACACAUGCAUACCAAGACCAAGCUUACGUAGUGGUUGAUUGUAUGUUCCCCACCUUGAGCAGAAAUGGAACUUGAUAGAGGAAAGAAUUAAUGAAUAAAUAAACAAACCACCAAUGUUUAAAAUAAGUCUUGCCAUUAGUUCAAUACACAAGAUAACACAAUUUUCCGUGUUUUGAAUUUUCACAUUACUCAAAACAGCAAAGAUAAGCUAUAAUGUCUUUUUACUACUUAUUACUAGUAUUAUUUUAUCAUUUAUUUAUUUAUUUUUUCUUUUAUUCUUUACCUGUACUCUAUAGCGCCGGUAGACCAUUUGGUGGGGCCUGGUGAUUCCCUUCCGUUUUGGCGCAGGGAAAUGUUUAUAGUGGCGCCAUUUAUUACCCGUGAUAAUGGAACAAUUCUGGGUUUGAAGUGGCUGUUAUGCUUACCAUCAACGGCAGUAAACAUAGAUAAGCAAAGCGUGUCUGGAGUUGAUCAUGCUGUAAAGUUUAGUAGAGGAAAGACGCGCAUGUUAUCCGCGCAUUGCAGGAGAUGAUGGAGUGAUUGUGUCUAAAAAAUAGUGGAUAGGCUAUACAGAAAAAAAAUAGC